UCGACUUGGAGGUUGUGCCCUGAGGCGUGGCUUCCGGAGCUAACGCGUUAAGUCGACCGCCUGGGGAGUACGGCCGCAAGGUUAAAACUCAAAUGAAUUGACGGGGGCCCGCACAAGCGGUGGAGCAUGUGGUUUAAUUCGAUGCAACGCGAAGAACCUUACCUACUCUUGACAUCCAGAGAACUUAGCAGAGAUGCUUUGGUGCCUUCGGGAACUCUGAGACAGGUGCUGCAUGGCUGUCGUCAGCUCGUGUUGUGAAAUGUUGGGUUAAGUCCCGCAACGAGCGCAACCCUUAUCCUUUGUUGCCAGCGGUUCGGCCGGGAACUCAAAGGAGACUGCCAGUGAUAAACUGGAGGAAGGUGGGGAUGACGUCAAGUCAUCAUGGCCCUUACGAGUAGGGCUACACACGUGCUACAAUGGCGCAUACAAAGAGAAGCGACCUCGCGAGAGCAAGCGGACCUCAUAAAGUGCGUCGUAGUCCGGAUUGGAGUCUGCAACUCGACUCCAUGAAGUCGGAAUCGCUAGUAAUCGUAGAUCAGAAUGCUACGGUGAAUACGUUCCCGGGCCUUGUACACACCGCCCGUCACACCAUGGGAGUGGGUUGCAAAAGAAGUAGGUAGCUUAACCUUCGGGAGGGCGCUUACCACUUUGUGGUUC
rnacentral:rRNA from 1 species